AGUCAAAUAUUGUAUUAUGAUUUACAUCAUUAUUUUUACAAGGCACAAAUGUCCUAUUAAUGAUUUGGUCACUUAAGAUCAUGAUUUGAUUAUUACGGUUUUAUUAUUCAACUUCCUUGCCUUAUGCUUAUUUCCCAUCUAUGCCCUACUCACAGAGUCGAUGAUCACUGAGUCUGUGAGACUUCUCCCCCUUUUUUCCCCUUUUGCAGAUAGUGAUCAGCCAAGUGUGCAUUCAUCGACAUUUUUAGCCCAUCGCGGAUAGAUGAAUAUGACCAUGUCAUUGAUGAGGCUAAAGAGCUAACAAAGAGGAGGAUGACUGCUAAGGAGCAAAGGUUGGGACAAAACCUUGCAAGGCAAACAUUUGCAUUCAAUGGAGGCUCAAAUGUGGAAGGCUCAAUCUUAGAAGGCAGUUCAAAUGGGGUAGAGGGCCUGGUCUAGCAUUACAAUAAUAUAUUUAGCUUUAUGUUUAUAUUUGUUUGACAAUUUUAGGUGUUAUGUGUUUACGAUGAUUUUUAAUUGCAUGAACUUGAUUUUGAAUUUUUGAUUUUAAUACGUAUUUUUCUUAUAAAUUUUGAGUGUGAAUUGUGGAUUCAAUUGAUAAUUUAUUACCGAAAUUUUGGUUA